GGUUUUAACACAGUAUCUCAAGGUACUGUGGGCUUCUGACCUACCGCUUGCGGUUGUGUCAGUAACCUUAAGUUUUGGAUCGCCUUUUCGGGGUAUCCGAGUGGGCAAA
rnacentral:sRNA from 1 species